ACGGGAGGCAGCAGUGGGGAAUAUUGGGCAAUGGGCGAAAGCCUGACCCAGCAACGCCGCGUGAAGGAAGAAGGUCUUCGGAUUGUAAACUUCUUUUAUGAGGGACGAAGGACGUGACGGUACCUCAUGAAUAAGCCACGGCUAACUACGUGCCAGCAGCCGCGGUAAUACGGAAGGUCCGGGCGUUAUCCGGAUUUAUUGGGUUUAAAGGGAGCGUAGGCCGUGCUUUAAGCGUGUUGUGAAAUGUAGGCGCCCAACGUCUGCACUGCAGCGCGAACUGGAGCACUUGAGUACGCAGGAAGUAGGCGGAAUUCGUCGUGUAGCGGUGAAAUGCUUAGAUAUGACGAAGAACUCCGAUUGGGAAGCCAGCUUACUGUAGCGCCACUGACGCUGAUGCUCGAAAGCGUGGGUAUCGAACAGGAUUAGAUACCCUGGUA
rnacentral:rRNA from 1 species